UACUAUGAAAGCCUUGUCAAAAAUGUGUUUCUUAGGUUCAUGGUACAGAGGAAGGGCCAAACUACCACCAGGGUCAUAAAACUACUCCUGGAAAUGCCCACAACUACUAUGAAAGCCUUGUCAAAAAUGUGUUUCUUAGGUUCAUGGUACAGAGGACGGGCCAAACUACCACCAGGGUCAUAAAACUACUCCUGGAAAUGCCCACAACUACUAUGAAAGCCUUGUCAAAAAUGUGUUUCUUAGGUUCAUGGUACAGAGGAAGGGCCAAACUACCACCAGGGUCAUAAAACUACUCCUGGAAAUGCCCACGACUACUAUGAAAGCCUUGUCAAAAAUGUGUUUCUUAGGUUUAUGGUACAGAGGACGGGCCAAACUACCACCAGGGUCAUAAAACUACUCCUGGAAAUGCCCACGACUCCAAUGAAAGCCUUGUCAAAUAUGUGUUCUUGCGUGGCGAAAUAUCUUAUAAUACCAAACAACUUGAAGGACUCGUGGACUCUGCCCUUGAAGCUACACGUCCACAUAGAAAAGUCCCGACCACUCAACUAACAAGACCUCCAGAACAGAAACUAUGGCCACAAAUACAUCAUAUCCGCCUACUCCUUCAGUCCAGGAUAUAAGGAGAGUGUGUUUGUACUCAUUAUAUCCUGAACACUGGAGGAAAAGGUGAAUCAGCUGUUUUAGUGGCCAUAGUAUUUGUUAUGGAAAUCUCGAAGCUACACAUUCAUAUUGAAAAGCCCUGACCACUAGGCUGACAAGAGGGAGGAUAGAUAGGGAGGUGGAGAGGAAAGAUUAGACUGAAAAGGGUUAUAAAAGUGAGGGAGGGAGAAGAGGAUUGGGAGAGGAGGAGGGGAGGAGGUGGAGGGAGAAAAUGGAGGGGAGGGAGGGGAGGAAAGGUGGAAGAGGAGAGAGGUGAGGGAGGAGGGAAGGGAGGGAAGGAGGUGGAGGGAGAAGGGGAGGAGGGAGGAAGGUGGAGGAGGAGAGAGGUGAGGGUGGAGGGAAAUGAGGUGAGGGAUUGGAGAGAAAACUUCCAGCUUAACAAAAACUCUGGAUACAAAAACAUCUUAUAACCUACUCCUUCAGACUAAGAUAUACAGCGCCCACAAACACAUCCUUAUAACAAACUGAAUACUUAACAUUACCAUCAAAAACAUUAUAGGCAAAAAACAGAGGACUUAUAGGGUGAUAAAAGCCCUUAGGAAGCCUGCUAUCACACAAGGCUUAUCAAUAACACCACUUGUAACUCUGUCAUCUGAUUCGGAACCUCCACGCUGGGUGACUUUCUAUAUGUAAAAUGUUCUCUUGGGAAUGAAGUUGGAUGUUGGUGGAUGUUGGUGGAUGUUUGAUAGAGAUACAUAACUGGUUUACAUUAGUGAUUUUCUGAUGACUAAAUUGAUGUCGCUUUCUCUCACACACACAUACACACACACACUGGUUGAUUCUUCAGUUAGGGAGUUGGACAGCAAAGGGAUGAAAGAAUGAAGGUACUGGUUGAGUCUUGCAUUAGGGAGUUGGACAGCAAAGGGAUGAAAGAAUGAAGGUACUGGUUGAGUCUUGCAUUAGGGAGUUGGACAGCAAAGGGAUGAAAGAAUGAAGGUACUGGUUGAGUCUUGCAUUAGGGAGUUGGACAGCAAAGGGAUGAAAGAAUGAAGGUACUGGUUGAGUCUUGCAUUAGGGAGUUGGACAGCAAAGGGAUGAAAGAAUGAAGGUACUGGUUGAGUCUUGCAUUAGGGAGUUGGACAGCAUAAAAAUGAAAAAUAAAGAUGUUGAUUGACUCUUGCAUCAGUAGAGGUGAAAGAAUUGAGAUACUGGUUAACUCUUGCAUUAGAAAGUUGGAUGGACAGUACAGAUGAAUAGGCACAUAUAGAAACACACACACACACACACACACACUCCACAAUUUGGUCCAUUCUGUCACUUCUGGAAACCAUCACACUGACGGUAAAUUCAAAUGCUAAUAUUUCUUCUUCUAGGGAUGGUAGAGGUUUGGCAAGCUAAACUGUGGGUCUACUGUACAAGGUUCCCUGCAAACUGUUGAUGACUGUGAGUGUAAAUGGUGGUGGUGGUGGUGGUGGAGUUAACCUUUCUGCUUCGGUGAUGAACAUGAAUGGUGGUGACAGCGGUGGUGGUGGUUGGUGGUGUUGGUGGAGUUAACCUUUCCGCUUUGGUGCUGAACAUGAAUGGUGGUGGUGGCGGUUGGUGGUGGAGUUAACCUUUCUGCUUUGAUGAUGAACAUGAAUGGUGGUGACAGUGGUGGUGGUGGUGGUGGAGUCAACCUUUCCCCGCCCAACAAGAGGGAGAGGAAAAAGCAAGUGUGGUGCUCUAAGUCUUUAUUCUCUACAGUCACUACACAACAGGGCUCACUUUCUGUCCGGUGGAGGCCAUGCACACACCCAACAACCGUCCUCCUUCAAGCCACAAUGUCCUGCCCUAACCAACCUUCCAACCAACAUUGCCAGAGUAUCGCAUCAGAGCCUCGUAUUAACCGUUUUCCGAGCCAUAGCUAUCGCAAAAAAAUAAUAAAUAAAUAAAUAAAUAAAAAAACACUAAGAAUUAACCAAUUUUGACGAUAACUGUACUAAAUGAAGGUGUCUGAGCCAUAGCUGCUGCAAAAAAGAAACACUAAGAAUCAACCAUUUUUAACGAUAACUGUACUAAAUGAAGGUGUCUGAGCCAUAGCUGCUGCAAAAAAGAAACACUAAGAAUCAACCAUUUUUAACGAUAACUGUACUAAAUGAAGGUGUCUGAGCCAUAGCUGCUGCAAAAAAGAAACACUAAGAAUCAACCAUUUUUAACGAUAACUGUACUAAAUGAAGGUGUCUGAGCCAUAGCUGCUGCAAAAAAGAAACACUAAGAAUCAACCAUUUUUAACGAUAACUGUACUAAAUGAAGGUGUCUGAGCCAUAGCUGUUGCAAAAAUGAAACACUAAGAAUUAACUAUUGCAGGCUUUUUUCUUUUUAUUGUUUCCUUUUUUUGUACCCUUGUGCUGUCUCCUUUGCUGUAAAAAAUAAUAAUAAUAAAAAAAAAACCCGAUAACUGUAUAUGGAGGCAGUUAUCGGGGUCGGAAAUCGUCAAAACAUCGGAGGCGGAUUACAACAAUCUGGCAACGCGGCUUCCGACCUAACUUACGAGUGUGUGCAUGUAGCUGCAUUAAGCCACACCAAGGUCAUUAGGGGUCAACAAUAACGAGAGCAAUAAUAAUGGUAAUAAUAAUAGUAAUAAUAAUAAUAAUAAUAUAAAUAAAAAAGGGGGUUGAGUUGUAGCAUCUCAAUGUGAGACAACAUCACCUGACAGGGCUGAGGGACAAUACUGAACCGAUGGUGAGAAAGGGAAAUGAACGCACGAGGCCGCAGAACCAUAAGGCCGCUGUCGUAACUACCCCAAGCCCUCAAGCGCGCCCCCCUAGCAACGGCCGGCCCAGCCACUCGGAAGCAACAGCGGCGGCGGAGUCUGAGUUUACAAUGAGGUGGGAGAGAGAAAAGAAAAUGAUGCACUUGGAAGUAAUGGCGGAGGAGUCUGAGUAGGAGAGAGUGGAAGUGGAAGACAGUGCGGAAUUGAGGUUUUAAGAGUGGAAGAGAGGGAGGAAGAGGAGGUGCGACAGAGCGAGAAAAAUUAUGUGGAAGAGUAGGAGAGAGUGGAAGUGGAAGACAGUGUGGAAUUGAGGUUUUAAGAGCGGAAGAGAGGGAGGAAGAUGAGGUGCGAGAGAGCGAGAAAAAUUAUGUGGAAGAGUAGGAGAGAGUGGAAGUGGAAGACAGUGUGGAAUUGAGGUUUUAAGAGUGGAAGAGAGGGAGGAAGAUGAGGUGCGAGAGAGUGAGAAAAAUUAUGUGGAAGAGUAGGAGAGAGUGGAAGUGGAAAACAGUGCGGAAUUGAGGUUUUAAGAGUGGAAGAGAGGGAGGAAGAUGAGGUGCGAGAGAGCAAGAAAAAUCAUGUGGAAGAGUAGGAGAGAGUGGAAGUGGAAGACAGUGUGGAAUUGAGGUUUUAAGAGUGGAAGAGAGGGAGGAAGAUGAGGUGCGAGAGAGCGAGAAAAAUUAUGUGGAAGAGUAGGAGAGAGUGGAAGUGGAAGACAGUGCGGAAAUGAGGUUUUAAGAGCGGAAGAGAGAGGGCGGAAUGAAGUGACGGAGAGGGAGAAGUAAGGUCAGUAAGGGAGUAGAAGGAACAGAAAGGACAUAGGGCGACCCCAUCCUUACUUUGGGAGACUGAGGAGAGGUAUUGAUGCCAGGAAGGAAGAGAAGACCAUAGAGGAAGGGUUGAAACUGAGAGAGAGGAAGACUUUACAUAUCUCCAUCUCAUAGCACCAGUAGGCUCUCUUGAGGGGCCUGGUGAUUCCUUGGCCCCAGUCCGAUAGCGGCACAGGCGAAUUUUAUUUUUAGUCGGUACCCUGACAUGUGACUCUUGCUCGGUUGCGACGGCACGAAGCGAACAAAAGCACUGUCGCUGAUCUCUUGGGAAUCGCCAAUAAUUUAUGCGUUGAUGCAAAAGAACGGAAAAAAAGUCAAUCACAUUUUUUCCCAGUGGGCGGAAAUGUCAGGAGAGUACGUCACAUUAUAGCCUAGAGGACCGAGCGCCUCGACGUCGUAGCUACGCCGCACCGAGCUUUGUUUACGUCCGAGUGGCUGGGACGGCGCGGAUUAAUGUUACCGAGUGUCUGGCGGUCAGCGCGUUAUGGUUUUGCGGCCUACGAUUGUUUUGCUUCUGCUUUCGGAGUUCUAACGCCAAGUCCCACAAGAGUCUGAAAGAGAGAGAGAGAGAAGGUGGCUGUGACUCUAGUGGCUGCCUGUUGUGUGUCACAUGUAAAGCAAGUCAGAGCACCAACCUUGCUGCCCUAAUGUCAUGACUGCAUAAAGGGAACUUACUCCGGCCUCCCUGCACGCCAACACACUCCCUCUUGAUGCCUGUGACUUGCAGGUUAAGACUUAUUCUGCUAUUGACGAAAUGAUGCAUAUGAUACUCUGGGUGAUCACGUUCUCUACAGGUUAAGUACAGACAAGUGAUGGAGUGCAUAAAAACAAGUAAAUAAUCACUGAAAACUCUGAGUGAGGGAAACUAUUAAAACUUUCAAUUAAAACUGAUUCUGCUAUUGACGAAAUGAUGCAUAUGAUACUCUGGGUGAUCACGUUCUCUACAGGUUAAGUACGUACAAGUGAUGAAGUGCAUAAAAGCAAGUAAAAAAUUAUUGAAAACUCUGAUAUUAAAACUGUCGAUUAAAAUACUGAUUCUGCCAUAGACGGAAUGAUGAAUGUAACAAUUUGGAUGAUCACAUAAUCUAAACAAGCUAUACAGAGUGAUGGAGUGAAUAAAAUGAAGCAAAUGGUGAAGGAAAUGAUGAAAACCUUGCCGAUUUAGACCUAUUUUGACGUACUAGUUAAAAUGAUGCAUAGAUUAACAGGGAGCACAACAUCCCCAGCAUACAUUAGGCUAGUGUGCUAUCAGAGGAGCCUUCAAUAGCACCCACUCACUCACUCACAAGGACUCAGGAACACACAUGGAGGUACAAUUGGUGGAGUUGACAUCAGCCCAAUUAAGUGGAUCCACCUGAGCUCUGUCAUUUUCACGGCCAGGUGUUGUCAGGUCAGGCUCCCUCUUAACCCGGUAGCACCGACGGGGCAAAUUUGUGGCUUUACCGUGUAGCAGCAACGGGGCAAAUUUGUGGCUUUACCGUGUAGCAGCAAUGGGCCAAAUUUGUGGCUUUACCGUGUAGCAGCAAUGGGCCAAAUAUGUGGCUUUACCGUGUAGCAGCAACGGGCCAAAUUUGUGGCUUUACCGUGUAGCAGCAACGGGCCAAAUUUGUGGCUUUACCGUGUAGCAGCAACGGGCCAAAUUUGUGGCUUUACCGUGUAGCAGCAACGGGCCAAAUUUGUGGCUUUACCGUGUAGCAGCAACGGGCCAAAUUUGUGGCUUUACUGUGUAGCAGCAACGGGCCAAAUUUGUGCCAUGAUUUCAACCCCCCAAAGCAGAUGAUGCAUAAAAUGAUCACAAAUACGUUGAUACAUAUUAUGAAAUGGUUUGUGUGAGUGAUGAUUUUUUUCUUCUUUUUUUUUUUUCAUUUUUCUCGCUUAGAGGGACCAUUAAGAAUCAUGAUCCCCGCAGCUACUGGGUUAAUGGGCUCGGCCAGGCUUGCCCACCCCCCUCUUUUGGCCGUAAAUUUGACAGUUCGUUGGCUUCACCUCGAUGAAUGGGAUUAGUGGGCCGUGUCGACUCCGCCAAUUCUACCUCCGUGGGAACACAUGAUCAAAGACUCUAUUCCUAAACUUAAAUUACCAAAGUGAAAAAUUACAUCAGAGUUAAUUAAUAAAUAACUCUUGGCUUAACAUUACAAAGGGCAACAACAACAACAACAACAACAACAAUAGGAGUUUGACGAGUUAGUUCAAAGAGAAGACAUAAUGCAGUUGUGCAGGAGUAAAAAAAAAUGGAUAUAAAUUAACAUAAAAAACAGUGCAGUAGAUUAUAAUAUGGGAGUGAAAAUGUGGAUAAUCUCGGGUUAAAACCACCACCAAAGGCAACCAAAGUAACCACACUCGGAGGCUUAUAGAACACAGGGAUAUGGCAGAACCCAAGCCCAAGCAACCACUGAUACCCAAGACCUCCUCCCAUGUCUGUCUGUUUCGGCAAUUUUGGGUUAACACCACCACCAAAGGCAACCAAAGUAACCAGACUCGGAGGCUUAUAGAACACAGGGACACAGCGGAACUCAAGCCCUAGCAACCACUGAUACCCAUGACCUCCUCCCAUGUCUGUCUGUUUCGGCAAUCUCGGGUUAACGAAGGCAACCAAAGUAACCAGACUCGGAGGCUUAUAGAACACAGGGACGCAGUGGAACUCAAGCACUAGCAACUAUUGACAACCGAGAUCUGUGCCUAUGUCUGUUUCGGCUAGAGAUCGGAGCUAUACAAAAAGGUCAAGGCAUCUAUUCGACCUAAUGACCUAUGGACCUAACCUGAUCACUCUUUCACAAUCUUCCAGUCUUCUACAUGUAUGGGAUGAAGGAUCGGAUGAGGAUGGAUGUGAAUGAGGAUUGAGAAGUGGGUUAUCAGAAGACGAAGUGAAGAGUUAUGAUAAAAAGCAAAAAUAUAGAUGCAACGAGAUGGGAGAAAUGUGAAUAACUGUCGGAAUAGAAAGACUCGCAUAAUCUACACAAGUUAUUCAAUGAUGGAGAAGCAAAUAGUGAAGGAAAUUAUGGAAAACCUUGCCGAUUAAGACCAAUUUUGCUACACUGGUUAAAACAAUGUGUAUGAUAAUUUGGGCGCUCACAUAUUCUGCACAAGUAAGGCAGUAAUGGAGGAGGUUAAAGAAGCUAAAUGGUGAAGGAAAAUAUGAAAAACCUUGCUGAUUAAGACCAAUUUUGCUACACUGGUUAAAAUGAUGCAGAACAAUUUGGGUGAUCAUAUAAUCUGCACAAGUAAGGCAGUGAUGGAGGAGGUUAAAGAAGCUAAAUGGUGAAGGAAAAUAUGAAAAACCUUGCUGAUUAAGACCAAUUUUGCUACACUGGUUAAAAUGAUGCAGAACAAUUUGGGUGAUCAUAUAAUCUGUACAAAUGAGGCAGUAAUAGGAUGCUAGAGGAAGCUAAAUAGUGAAGAAAAUCAUUAAAACCUUCACAAUUAAGACCAAUUUUGCUGCACUACUUAAAAUAAUGUGUAUAAUAAUUUGGGCGCUCACAGUCUGCAUAAGCGAGGCAUUAAUGGAGUAUAUUAAGAGAAGCAAAUGGUGAGGGAAAUUAUGAAAAACCCUUGCCGAUUAAGACCAAUUAUACUGCACUAGUUAAAAUGAUGCAUAUAACAACUUGGGUGCUCACAAAUUAUUAUAUACAAAAAGAUAGGACAUAGGGAAACACCAUCCUUGCUUUGGGAGACAGAAGAGAGGAAGUGAGGCGAACAGGGAUGAGAGAAGAGCAUAGAGGAAGGGUUGAAACUGAGAGAGGAAGACUUUACAUAUGUCCAUCUUACAGCACCAGUAGACUGUAAUUUGCACAAGUCAGGCAGUAAUGGAGGAGGUUAGAGAAAGAAAAUGGUGGAGAAAACUAUUAAAGACCUUGCUGAUUAAGACCAAUUUUGCUACACUAUUUAAAAUGAAGCAUAGAACAACUUGGGCGAUUACAUUCUUGCCAUCUAAGGCCAUCUAUAAGUCCUCUGUUUAUGCCUUCCAAUACUAAAUGGUUCCUCAGUCUAAUACUACUAAUGCCCCUUGGGAUAACUUAAAACUAUUAUUGUCAUUAAGCGUCCGGCAGUAACAUAUCCCCUUGCUCCCUCAAAGACAUAUCCCUGGGCACAGAGUGAGGAUGUGUGUGUGCUAGGAUCAAAGUGUGAGCCGUGGGCAGACCUUGAGCUGUCGAUUACUACUCUACACUGAGGAACGCUACCCGAAAUAUGCAGAGGAAAGUGGAUCAGUGGUUUUGUAAGUGGCUGGUCAUAGAGGGUGAGUGUAAAAGAUUGAAGGCUUCACACUGUACUCUGCAGGUCAAGGCUUAUGAAACCACCGAGGAACAGAGCCCAAGAUAUGCAAUAGUUAAGUGGACCAGUGUUUUUGUAAGUGUCUGGUCAAAGAGGGUGUGUCUGCAAGAACCAAGCCUUUUACACUGUACUCUGCGGGUCAAAGCUUAUGAAACCAUUGAGGAACAGCCCAAGAAAUGCAGAGUUAAGUGGAUCAGUGUUUUUGUAAGUGUCUGGUCAAAGAGGGUGUGUCUGCAAGAACCAAGCCUUCACACUGUACUCUGCGGGUCAAAGCUUAUGAAACCAUUGAGGAACAGAGCCCAAGAAAUGCAGAGUUAAGUGGAUCAGUGUUUUCGUCAGUGUCUGGUCAUAAUGGGUGAGUCUGCAAGAACCAAGCCUUUUACACUGUACUCUGCGGGUCAAAGCUUAUGAAACCACCGAGGAACAGAGCCCAAGAAAUGCAGAGUUAAGUGGAUCAGUGUUUUCGUAAGUGUCUGGUCAAAGAGGGUGUGUCUGCAAGAACCAAGCCUUCACACUUUAACCUGCAUAUCAAGACUUUCAAAACUACCACUCCGAGAGGCAAAAUAUAUCAUGUAUGGUUACUGAAGGUGCUCAAAGGCCAGAGAGCAAUGUAUGAGACAACAUUACACCAUUGAACGGACUAUAGACACACAUAUAAACAUCACACGAGUUGUAAAUUCAGGGUUUUCUCUCCCUCAAAUACCAACAGCAAGUGGUCCCUGUGUCUAAGCAAGGAGCAUUAGAUAGGCCACAAGGUAUCUGAACCCAUACAGCAUCCCAAACAUCCUCAUCCCUUCUUUGGCCAUACAGAAUUAGACCCUUUCUCAUAACUUCAUAAGAGGGGCAACUAUCCUGAGCAAGGAGGAUUAGAUGAGGUUCAAACUCCCUCUCUGGUCAUACAGAAUCCCAUAUAAUCUCAUCCCCUCUUUGCCCAUACAGAAUUAGACCCUUUCUCAUAAUUUCAUAAGAGGGGCAACUAUUCUGAGCAAGGAGGAUUAGAUGAGGUUCAAACUCCCUCUUAGGUCAUACAGAAUCCCAUAUAAUCUCAUCCCCUCUUUGCCCAUACAGAAUUAGACCCUUUCUCAUAACUUCAUAAGAGGGGCAACUAUUCUGAGCAAGGAUGAUUAGAUGAGGUUCAAACUCCCUCUUAGGUCAUACAGAAUCCCAUAUAAUCUCAUCCCCUCUUUGCCCAUACAGAAUUUGACCCUUUCUCAUAAUUUCAUAAGAGGGGCAACUAUUCUGAGCAAGGAGGAUUAGAUGAGGUUCAAACUCCCUCUCAGGUCAUACAGAAUCCCAUAUAAUCUCAUCCCCUCUUUGCCCAUACAGAAUUAGACCCUUUCUCAUAACUUCAUAAGGGGGGCAACUAUUCUGAGCAAGGAGGAUUAGAUGAGGUUCAAACUCCCUCUUAGGUCAUACAGAAUCCCAUAUAAUCUCAUCCCCUCUUUGCCCAUACAGAAUUAGACCAUUUCUCAUAAUUUCAUAAGAGGGGCAACUAUUCUGAGCAAGGAGGAUUAGAUGAGGUUCAAACUCCCUCUUAGGUCAUACAGAAUCCCAUAUAAUCUCAUCCCCUCUUUGCCCAUACAGAAUUAGACCAUUUCUCAUAACUUCAUAAGAGGGGCAACUAUUCUGAGCAAGGAGGAUUAGAUGAGGUUCAAACUCCCUCUUAGGUCAUUCAGAAUCCCAUAUAAUCUCAUCCCCUCUUUGCCCAUACAGAAUUAGACCAUUUCUCAUAACUUCAUAAGGGGGGUGACUUUUUCAAGGGAAGUUUUGUGUGUACCCUACCUCCUCCUCCUCCUCCUUCUCCUCUUCAAGCCCCCUCACAGCCAAGAGUUGAUAUACAAAAAACACAACCAUGCAGGACUUUGAUGCAGGCCACAGGGCAGACACAAACCUUGGUCACAUUACAGAAACAGAGAUACAAAAUCCAGCUACGUCAAAACAAAGAGCGAGGCAAAAUAAUAAGCAACAAAGGAGUAUGGAUAAAUAGCUUUCUGUGAGCAAACCUAACUUAACCUAACCUAACUGAUAGAUCUGAAAUGCCUGAAGUAAAUGAGGGAUUGAAUAGCUUGAAGGACCCUAAUGUUGUCUCUGCCCCACCAGUGAAAGCCUUUCCUAACCUAACUCCUACAUCUGGAAUGCCUGAAGUAAAUGAGGGAUUGAAUAGCUUGAAGGACCCUAAUGUUGUCUUUGCCCCACCAGUGAUAGCCUUUCCUAACCUAACUCCUACAUCUGGAAUGCCUGAAGUAAAUGAGGGAUUGAAUAGCUUGAAGGACCCCAAUGUUGUCUUUGCCCCACCAGUGAAAGCCUUUCCUAACCUAACUCCUACAUCUGGAAUGCUUGAAGUAUAUGAGGGAUUGAAUAACUUGAAGGGGCCAACUGUUGUCUGGAAUUGUUGAAGUAUAUGAGGGAUUGAAUAGCUUGAAGGGGCCAACUGUUGUCUGGAAUUGUUGAAGUAUAUGAGGGAUUGAAUAGCUUGAAGGGGCCAACUGUUGUCUGGAAUUCUUGAAGUAUAUGAGGGGUUGAAUAGCUUGAAGGACCCAACUAUUGCCUUCAUCCCAGCAAUGAAAACCUUUGAAGACCUACCAUAACCCAGAGAGAUAUUGCCUCUACUACAAUGAAUGGGUCUUGAGGGGUCUGUGUGUUGCAUAUUGACAAGUUGAUCUUUCUAGUAAUGAAUGUUGACAAGGGAGCAAAGUUGUCCCUUCCUCUAAAAAAAACAAAUGUCUGGGCUUGUGGAAAUAACCGUCCACUCCCACCGAACACUAACCGAAGCCUCUGACCACCACAUGGCAACCCUCGAGUGUGAGUGUGGCUAAAAACAACCUUGAGGGAGGGAGGGAACGAGCGAGGGAGCUUCACCACACACCGAAAGCUUUGUGCUGGAAUAUGUGAGUUGUACAAAGGCAAAAAAUACACAACCAAGGGGAGCAGAAGCCAGCAGCCACCAGCCAUCAAGACACAUGCACCAGUCUCCCCGAAAGAGCUCAGUCUCAUCUCAGUCUAGUUCUUAACCCGUCCACUGCGAUUGUCAUAAAUUUUGCCCUCACUGGUAGCCUGGUUAACACAUACUCCCAGGUCUUUCUCUGCCUCUGUGGUGGAUAGUGGAGUGAUAUUAGUAUGCUGGAUAUCCCUUCACUGGUAGCCUGGUUAACAUAUACUCCCAGGUCUUUCUCUGCCUUUGUGGUGGAUAGUGGAGUGUUUCCCGUGUGGUAUUGGUAUGCUGGAUAUCCCCUCUCAAGGUGCAGGACUUUACGUUUUUCUUCAGUGAAUUGUAGCAGCCACUUUUUGUUCCAUUCCUGUAGCUUGGUGAGGUCUUCUUGUAGGAUAUCCACAGUCAAGGGGUUAAGUCACACAUCAGAGGACACAGUGAAGGUUAGCAGUUGUAUACUCUUCUACAUUUUGUCCUUGGUGAAAUACACACUAGAUCUUUACAUAAUAAGGACCAAAGAAAAAGUGUCUUUAUAAAUUCUUGUCUUGUCCUUAGUGAAACGAGUAUAUGUUUACCUCAAUAUAUCGUGGCAUAAGAACCUUUGUCUUUUCUAUAAUUACUUGAAGUUCACCUAAUAAGGACCUCAGAGGAAGGAAGUGUCAAUAUAUUCUUCCACCUUGUCCUCAGUGAAGUUAAUCUAAAUGUCUUGCCAAUACAACUUGACAUAAAAAACUCCAUCUUUUCUAUAAUUAUUUGCUGUGGUUUCCCCUGGCAACGUUCACCUGAUAAGGACCAUAGAGGAAGCACAUGUAUGUCUAGAUUCUUCCAGGUCACCCUUACUAAAAUUCAUAUGUUAAGCCAAUACAAUAUGGACUAAAAACAUCAAUCUUUUCUAUAAUUCACUGAUGUGGUUUCCUGUAGCGAGGGUCGAUAUAUAUGGCAGUGAGGUAGUGUGUGUGUGUGUGUGUGUUUAUCAUUUUCUUAUAUACAUUCCUUGCCACACUUAGAGAAUAACUGGUAUAGAACUUUUGUCAGUAAGCAAUAAUAUAUGCAACAAUGUCCUUCCAAAAUCUGUUAAAAUUGAGUAAAUACAGAUUUUUGGGGGUGAUAACCAGAAAAAUCCUUGACUGUUACAAAAUUUUGUCUGUAAAUAUAUGUAAUAAAAUGAAUCUAUAAGUCUUAGAUAAAUAACUAUAGCUUUUGGGGGUCAGGGAUUGGCAGGAGGCAUUUCUGGGACCAUUAUUUCUGUCCCCAUUAUAUCCGGUACCAAUACUUCCAGGACCAUUAUUUCCGGUACCAUUAUUUCUGGGACCAUUAUUUCAGGAACCAUUAUUUCAGGAACCAUUAUUUCCAGUACCAUUACUUCUGGGACCGUUAUUUCUGGGACCAUUAUUUCCGGUACCAUUACUUCUGGGACCAUUAUUUCGGUCACUGCCAGGCCUAGAAUCAACCAGUGGAAGGCAACGCUUCACCACACGACUAAUCAGACUGCAGAGCUAAAAGACCAAGACCCAGACCGCCAGUAACCCCCAGUGUGCACUCUGGUCUGGGCGCCAUAACCAGAAGCCCCCCUCCGACAUACAGCAAAUAACAGUCUAAUAUUUCUGCUCUAAGUAAAUAUAUGUAGCAAAUGAUUUCUGGCAUCUACAACAAUGACUAAAUGAUUUCUGCGGACAACAAGUGCAAAGUUCUCAGUCUACUGCAAGUGGUUGGGCGGAAGGUUAAGUUUUUCAUCUGUUUCUGGAAUGUGUUAGCUUGUGGUAUUUCCCCCUACAAAACACUAAUGACAGACUUGUUAUUUUCUCCUACAAAACCCUCCUGAUAGACUUGUUAUUUCCUCGUACAAAACCCUCCUGAUAGAUUUAUUUCCUCCUACAAAACCCUCCAUCAGCAAGUGUUUGAGUACAAGUUGUCUAGUUUUCCAUCUGUGCCUGGAAUGUAUCGGCCAGACAUGUUAUUUCCUCCUACAAAAUCCUCCAGAUAGACUUAUUUCCUCCUACAAAACACUCUGUCUGCAAGUGUUUGAAUACAAGUUGUCUAGUUUUCCAUCUGUGUCUGGAAUGUAUCGGCCAGACAUGUUAUUUCCUCCUACAAAAUCCUCCAGAUAGACUUGUUAUUUCCUCCUACAAAACACUCCGUCUGCAAGUGUUUGAGUACAAGUUGUCUAACUUUCCAUCUGUGUCUGGAAUGUAUCAGCCAGACAUGUUAUUUCCUCCUACAAAACUUUCUUGAUAGACUUGUUAUUUCCUCCUACAAAACACUCCGUCUGCAAGUGUUUGAGUACAAGUUGUCUAGUUCUCCAUCUGCGUCUGGAAUGUAUCGGCCAGACAUGUCAUUUCCUCCUACAAAAUCCUCCAGAUAGACUUGUUAUUUCCUCCUACAAAACACUCCGUCUGCAAGUGUUUGAGUACAAGUUGUCUAGUAUUUCCUUGUUUCUGUAAUGCUAGACUUGUGGUAUCUCCUCCUACAAAACUCUUCUGAUAGACUUGUUAUCUCCUCCUACAAAACCCUCCAGCCGUAAGUGUCUGACUCAAAGUUGUUCAAUUUUUCAGUGAACUCAAUGCUUCCAACUACACAACACAUUGACUACAAGAUAUUUCCACCUAUGACAGCUCCCUUGGUCACCCACUGCUUGAUUCAGAAGGUUCGUUUUAAUUUCGACAGCACUUUCGUUUUAAUUUUCAAGAGGCGUUUCGUAAUGCUUUCCCGGUGGAUUGCAACAUAAGACUGAGCUCUGUGGGGACGAGGAGGAGUAGGAGGUGAAGGAGGAGGAGGAGGAGGAGGAGGAGGAGGAGUGGCAGAAGUAGGAGGAGUAAGGGAGUUUCACGAUGAAUUGAAUUUGG